AGCUGAACUCCCCCUGGUUCUGAUGUCACCUAAACCAGCAGAAGUGACUGAUAUCAGCCUUGAAUAGAAUACAGCCAGUGAUGGAGAGGAGCAAGUCAGAAGGAGAGACACUCAGGAAUAGAUGCAGAUUCCAAACAACCUCAUUUCAUGAGCCAUAGACUAUAGACCCUAGCUGCAAAUAUCUGUAAAAGAAAUUAGCUGUAUAAUGUUAAACAUGGGCUAAAAG